UACAGAGGUGGCAAGCGUUGUUCGGAAUUACUGGGCGUAAAGGGCGCGUAGGCGGCCAUCUAAGUCAGACGUGAAAUCCCCGACUUAACCUGGGAACUGCGUCUGAUACUGGACGGCUUGAGUAUGGGAGAGGGAUGUAGAAUUCCAGGUGAGCGGUGAAAUGCGUGAGAUAUCUGGAGGAAUACCGAUGGCGAAGGCGGCGAACCUGGUUCAAUA
rnacentral:rRNA from 1 species